rnacentral:misc_RNA from 1 species
AUGCGAUAAGUAAUGUGAAUUGCAGAAUUCAGUGAAUCAUCGAAUCUUUGAACGCACAUUGCGCCCCUUGGUAUUCCGAGGGGCAUGCCUGUUCGAGCGUCAUUAUAACCCCUCAAGCUCAGCUUGGUGUUGGGGCCUGCUGCACUGGCAGCCCUUAAAAUCAGUGGCGGCGCCAUCUGGCUCUAAGCGUAGUAAUUCUUCUCGCUAUGGAGUCCUGGUGGAUGCUUGCCAUCAACCCCCAAUUUUUCUAUGGUUGACCUCGGAUCAGGUAGGGAUACCCGCUGAACUUAA